GCCUUCGUAGUGUAGUGGUUAGCACAGUCGGCGCAUGUUUGGGAGGUUCGUGGUUCGAGUCCCGGCGAUGGCA
rnacentral:tRNA from 1 species